rnacentral:rRNA from 1 species
AGGAUAAACGCUGGCGGCGUGCAUGAGACAUGCAAGUCGAACGGACGAUCAGGGCUUGCUCUGAUCGUUAGUGGCGGACGGCUGAGUAACGCGUGGGUGACCUGCCCCGAAGUGGGGAAUAACUGCCCGAAAGGGUGGCUAAUACCGCAUGUGGUGGUGUGUUCAUUCACACCAGUAAAGCCGCAAGGCGCUUCGGGAGGGGCCUGCGUCCGAUUAGCUCGUUGGUGGGGUAACGGCUCACCAAGGCGACGAUCGGUAGGUGGUCUGAGAGGACGAUCACCCAGACUGGGACUGAGACACGGCCCAGACUCCUACGGGAGGCAGCAGUCGGGAAUUUUGCGCAAUGGACGAAAGUCUGACGCAGCAACGCCGCGUGAGGGAAGACGGCCUUAGGGUUGUAAACCCCUUUCAGGAGGGACGAAGGUCGGCGCGUUAAUAGCGUGUCCGACUGACGGUACCUCCACAACGAACGCCCCGGCUAACUACGUGCCAGCAGCCGC